CUCUAGCUUUCCUCAAAGCAGGACCUAGGUCUUUGCAGAGGCGCUUUCAACUGUAACUAGGAGUACAGGGAGACAGAGAAAAAAAUGGCAAAUCCAAGUUAAACGUACACACAUAAGAAACUUAAGAAUGGAAAUACGGGACUCGCUUAGCAUUAGAGGCAAAAGCCAACUACUUCAUCUGAGUGCGGGUUACUAUAGACUGCCUUCUUUUCUCCGACUUUUUGCUGGUUUCAUUCUAUGCUCGGACUGAGCGCAUUUCUCCGUCUCUGCGUAGAGUAGACGGACAGUUUUAUGAAUACUAUAACAACACUAAA